UUCACUUUACAUACACUAAUUAAUUAAUAUCAUACAAAAAUGAAAUAUAAUUAAUUAUAUACAAAAUUCGCGACAAUUUUUAUUUCAAUAUGUGUUAUAUAUUAUAUACUAUAUUACAUUAUUUAGUAAUAUUAUAUACAUAUAAAUAAUAUUUUCAAAAAUAUUUGAAGUAAUUAAAAUAUCAAAAUAAUAUUAAAAAUAAAAAACAAAAAGAAAAUACAACACAGUUAACGAGGUGAAAAAAACAAGCGGCAUUAUUUCCCCCAUAUUAAAACACACAGCUUUAGUGACUCGCACCCCCAUCUCAGCUCACCCACUCUCGACUCUCACCCAAAUCUCAGUUGACUCUCGAAUUUCACCCAUUCUCAACUCUCAGCACACACUCGCACUCGCACUCGCACUCUAUCUCAGCUCUCGCUUCGCACUCGCAUUCUGUCCCAGCUGUUGCUUCGCUAAAUCGAAGGAACUUUCGCUUCGUUAAUUAAAGGAUUUUGAGGGUUUCUUCUAAUUAGUGCUUAAGUCGAGCUAAUUAGGUUUUCUACUGACUUGGGUUUUCAUAUUGUAGGUGAUUAGGGCUUUUCAUCGAGGCUGAAAAUCAGGGCUUUUCAUCGAGGUUGGAAAUUAGGGCUUUUCAUCGAGGCUUGAAAUUAGGGCUUCAAUAGUUGAGGUGGAAGGGAUCAUGGGCGAGAAUGGUUAGUGGGGAGGAGUUGUAAAAAAGCUGGUGGAACAUCUACACCUUCUACAGACCCUUAUGAACAGCUGACGAUGACGAUAAAGGAAAGUAUUGAAAGUGAACUGGAAGCCAAGGUCAAUAGAAAUGUUCAGGAGAACAUGACAAUGUUGCUGAAAAAGCUCGAGGAAGCAAAACCUGGUAUGAAGUUGGAUGUCGACAUUCAGGCUACUGUAUCUCGUGACGGUGAUGAUAAUGGAACUCCAAUGACAGCCGGCGAAACUUCUUAGUUGCCUUUGAUUAUCAUCUCAUUAUCAUCAACACAUUUAAGACUAGACUUUGGUAUCUUUAACAUUCUGGUAUUCGUAGUUUAUAACUUUGGAUUACUUUGUUUUGGUAUUAUUGGUAGUUUGGCGUGUUUUGCACAAGUGCGCAAGGUAUUGUCUUUGUCGGAAGGUGUUAUUUUAUAAUUGCUGGUGGAAAGAUCUGGAUGGCUUGUGGUUGGUUUGGUUGCUUAUUUAUUUUGUGGUUGAAAUA